AAAAAGGCCAACGGCACGUGGUGUUCCCAAGCGGUCACCCAUCCAAGUACUAACCACGCUCAACGUUGCUUAGCUUAAGUGAUCGGACGAGAACUUGCGUAUUCAACGUGAUAUGACUGUUGGCCAACGGCACGUGGUGUUCCCAAGCGGUCACCCAUCCAAGUACUAACCACGCUCAACGUUGCUUAGCUUAAGUGAUCGGACGAGAACUUGCGUAUUCAACGUGAUAUGACCGUUGGCCAACGGCACGUGGUGUUCCCAAGCGGUCACCCAUCCAAGUACUAACCACGCUCAACGUUGCUUAGCUUAAGUGAUCGGACGAGAACUUGCGUAUUCAACGUGAUAUGACUGUUGGCCAACGGCACGUGGUGUUCCCAAGCGGUCACCCAUCCAAGUACUAACCACGCUCAACGUUGCUUAGCUUAAGUGAUCGGACGAGAACUUGCGUAUUCAACGUGAUAUGACUGUUGGCCAACGGCACGUGGUGUUCCCAAGCGGUCACCCAUCCAAGUACUAACCACGCUCAACGUUGCUUAGCUUAAGUGAUCGGACGAGAACUUGCGUAUUCAACGUGAUAUGACUGU